AUAGAUAUUGGGGAUCUCACCAAGGACAAAAGGCUACGGCCGAACAUAAAGGCUCCUGCCGAAUUAAUAACUCAAGGGACAAUAACUCUCAAACACUCGGGGACUAUCAUCGACAGUUAGCUCAUCAAGCCACCGAAAACUCAAAUUGGUACGACCUCGAUCAGGAAACGUCAAGCUUGCAAGCCCUCAGUAAGGCUACAUCAAAUCUGUAAGAUCUUAAUGGGGCAUGCCAAAACUUGUAAGAGCUUAAAAAGGCAUAACCCUGAUAUUAAAGACAACGCUAUAUAUUCAAACUUGUAAAACCCUUAAAAAGGAAUACACUCGAUAUAAACACCGA
rnacentral:lncRNA from 1 species